AUCGCUUCUCGGCCUUUUGGCUAAGAUCAAGUGGAGUGUUUGCCCCUAUUUUCAUUGGUAGUUCUCAGCUGGUGUUUAUAUUUGUGACUGUUGUUAUCUGUCUCCACUAUUGCCAUAGUGCUAGUCUGUGGUCAUGGCCAACCCACU
rnacentral:snRNA from 1 species